GAUGACCGCUGGCGGCGUGCUUAACACAUGCAAGUCGAGCGAAGCGAUUUGACGGAUGUUUUCGGAUGGAAGUCAGAUUGACUGAGCGGCGGACGGGUGAGUAACGCGUGGGUAACCUGCCUCAUACGGGGGGAUAACAGUUAGAAAUGACUGCUAAUACCGCAUAAGCGCACAGUAUCGCAUGGUACGGUGUGAAAAACUCCGGUGGUAUGAGAUGGACCCGCGUCUGAUUAGCUAGUUGGUGGGGUAACGGCCUACCAAGGCGACGAUCAGUGGCCGACCUGAGAGGGUGACCGGCCACAUUGGGACUGAGACACGGCCCAAACUCCUACGGGAGGCAGCAGUGGGGAAUAUUGCACAAUGGGGGAAACCCUGAUGCAGCAACGCCGCGUGAGUGAAGAAGUAUUUCGGUAUGUAAAGCUCUAUCAGCAGGGAAGAAAAUGACGGUACCUGACUAAGAAGCCCCGGCUAACUACGUGCCAGCAGCCGCGGUAAUACGUAGGGGGCAAGCGUUAUCCGGAUUUACUGGGUGUAAAGGGAGCGUAGACGGCGAGACAAGUCUGAAGUGAAAGCCCGGGGCUCAACCCCGCGGACUGCUUUGGAAACUGCCUUGCUGGAGUGUCGGAGAGGUAAGUGGAAUUCCUAGUGUAGCGGUGAAAUGCGUAGAUAUUAGGAGGAACACCAGUGGCGAAGGCGGCUUACUGGACGAUAACUGACGUUGAGGCUCGAAAGCGUGGGGAGCAAACAGGACUAGAUACCCUGGUAGUCCACGCCGUAAACGAUGAAUUCUAGGUGUGGGGGAGCAAAGUUCCUCGGUGCCGCCGCAAACGCAUUAAGCAUUUCACCUGGGAGUACGUUCGCAGGAAUGAACUCAAAAGAAAUGACGGGGACCCCCACAGCGGGUGAGGCAUGUGUUUUAUUUCGAAGCAACGCGAAGACCCUUCCCAGUCUUGACAUCUUCUUGCCGGACGAGAAACGUCGUUUCCCUUCCGGGGCAAGAGAGACAGGUGGGCCAUGGUUGUCGUCAGCUCGGUUCGGGAGAUGUGGGGUAAAGUCCCCCAACGAGCGCAACCCUUAUCCUUAGUAGCCAUCAUUAAGUUGGGCACUCUAGGGAGACUGCCAGGGAUAACCUGGAGGAAGGUGGGGAUGACGUCAAAUCAUCAUGCCCCUUAUGAUUUGGGCUACACACGUGCUACAAUGGCGUAAACAAAGAGAAGCGAGACCGCGAGGUGGAGCAAAUCUCAGAAAUAACGUCUCAGUUCGGAUUGUAGUCUGCAACUCGACUACAUGAAGCUGGAAUCGCUAGUAAUCGCGAAUCAGAAUGUCGCGGUGAAUACGUUCCCGGGUCUUGCA
rnacentral:rRNA from 1 species